AGCCGACACGUUAAAAUUCACUUAUAGGAGUUCCAUGAGGUCCUUGAAGGCAUCUUCGCAAGAGUUCAUUGCGGUGACUGCACAAACUUUAACAAGCACAUUCAAAGAAGCUUCGAGAAGCUCCAUGACUUCAUCUGAAAGCAGCGCCGUUCGGACAUUGAGCUCUUGUUUUUUGAUGGCUUUGUAGAUCUCAUGGAAUUUCUGCAAGUAAAUUUCUAUUUGGUGGCU